GCCGAUUUAGCUCAGUUGGUAGAGCAGCGCAUUCGUAAUGCGGAGGUCGAAGGUUCAAGUCCUUUAAUCGGCACCA
rnacentral:tRNA from 2 species